AACGAACGCUGGCGGCAGGCUUAACACAUGAAAGUCGAGCGCGCAGUUUACUGCGAACGGCAGACGGGUGAGUAACGCGUGGGAAUCUACCCCGAACUACGGAAUAACAUGAAGAAAAUUGUGCUAAUACCGUAUACGCCCUUCGGGGGAAAGAUUUAUUGGUUUUGGAUGAGCCCGCGUUGGAUUAGCUAGUUGGUAGGGUAAUGGCCUACCAAGGCGACGAUCCAUAGCUGGUCUGAGAGGAUGAUCAGCCACACUGGGACUGAGGCACGGCCCAGACUCCUACGGGAGGCAGCAGUGGGGAAUAUUGGACAAUGGACGCAAGCCUGAUCCAGCCAUGCCGCGUGAGUGAUGAAGGCCUUAGGGUUUUAAAGCUCUUUCACCGGUGAAGAUAAUGACGGUAACCGGAGAAGAAGCCCCGGCUAACUUCGUGCCAGCCGCCGCAGUAA
rnacentral:rRNA from 1 species